CCUCAAAACAUCUUGCAAAUAAAACACUUUGUAGAUAGAAUAUAUAUGCAUGUAUAUCUAUGGUUACAAGUGAUAGCCAGAAAUGCACUUGUGUAAUGAGAACUGCAUUAUAACCAAACCAAGGAACCCAAAGUUUAGGAGGCGCUGCAGUCAGGCAUCAAGGAGUCCUGGCUCUUGUGUUUGGAAGACGGGUCAGCUGAGGUCCGGAACCAAUUCUAGGGCAAGAAAACUUGCAAUAAAGACUGAGAACUUUGGUCUAAAGCUAUAGAUCUAACUCAUUUUCUUUAUUAAAAACAACCAACUAAACAAAAA
ensembl:antisense uridine-cytidine kinase 1-like 1, opposite strand